rnacentral:RNase_P_RNA from 1 species
CGAGCCAGCCGGGUGAUCGCGGCACUUCGGUGUCGAGGAAAGUCCGGACUCCACAGGGCAGGGUGGUGGGUAACGCCCACCCGGGGUGACCCGCGGGACAGUGCCACAGAGAACAGACCGCCAGGAGCGAUCCUGGCAAGGGUGAAACGGUGGUGUAAGAGACCACCAGCACCGCAGGCGACUGCGGUGGCUCGGUAAACCCCACCCGGAGCAAGGCCAAAAGGAUCGGGUAACCGGUCUGCGCAGACGAGCGGCCCGCUCAAUGUCUGCGGGUAGGCCGCACCAGGCUGUCGGCAACGGCAGUCGCAGAUGGAUGAUCACCGGCCAGUUCGCUGGUCACAGAAUCCGGCUUACAGGCUGGCUCGUCCC